CCUACGGGGGGCAGCAGUGGGGAAUAUUGGGCAAUGGGCGCAAGCCUGACCCAGCAACGCCGCGUGAAGGAAGAAGGCUUUCGGGUUGUAAACUUCUUUUAAGGGGGAAGAGCAGAAGACGGUACCCCUUGAAUAAGCCACGGCUAAAUACGUGCCAGCAGCCGCGGUAAUACGUAGGUGGCAAGCGUUGUCCGGAUUUACUGGGUGUAAAGGGCGUGCAGCCGGAGAGACAAGUCAGAUGUGAAAUCCACGGGCUCAACCCGUGAACUGCAUUUGAAACUGUUUCCCUUGAGUGUAGGAGAGGUAAUCGGAAUUCCUUGUGUAGCGGUGAAAUGCGUAGAGAUAAGGAAGAACACCAGUGGCGAAGGCGGAUUACUGGACGAUAACUGACGGUGAGGCGCGAAAGCGUGGGGAGCAAACAGGAUUAGAUACCCGAGUAGUC
rnacentral:rRNA from 1 species